GAAAAGAAACCAACAGGGAUUGCCCCAGUAACGGCGAGUGAAGCGGCAACAGCUCAAAUUUGAAAUCUGGCCCCCAGGGUCCGAGUUGUAAUUUGCAGAGGAUGAUUUUGGCGAGGUGCCUUCCGAGUUCCCUGGAACGGGACGCCAUAGAGGGUGAGAGCCCCGUCUGGUUGGACGCCGAGCCUAUGUAAAUCUCCUUCGACGAGUCGAGUAGUUUGGGAAUGCUGCUCUAAAUGGGAGGUAUAUGUCUUCUAAAGCUAAAUAUUGGCCAGAGACCGAUAGCGCACAAGUAGAGUGAUCGAAAGAUGAAAAGCACUUUGAAAAGAGGGUUAAAUAGUACGUGAAAUUGUUGAAAGGGAAGCGCUCAUGACCAGACUUGGGCCCGGUGAAUCAUCCAGCGUUCUCGCUGGUGCACUUUGCCGGGCUCAGGCCAGCAUCAGUUUGCCCCGGGGGACAAAGGCUCUGGGAAUGUGGCUCCUCCGGGAGUGUUAUAGCCCACUGCACAAUACCCUGGGGUGGACUGAGGUUCGCGCAUCUGCAAGGAUGCUGGCGUAAUGGUCAUCAGCGACCCGUCUUGAAACACGGACCAAGGAGUCGUCUUCGUAUGCGAGUGUUCGGGUGUGAAACCCCUACGCGUAAUGAAAGUGAACGCAGGUGAGAGCUUCGGCGCAUCAUCGACCGAUCCUGAUGUUCUCGGAUGGAUUUGAGUAAGAGCAUACGGGGCCGGACCCGAAAGAAGGUGAACUAUGCCUGUWUAGGGUGAAGCCAGAGGAAACUCUGGUGGAGGCUCGCAGCGGUUCUGACGUGCAAAUCGAUCGUCAAAUAUGGGCAUGGGGGCGAAAGACUAAUCGAAC
rnacentral:rRNA from 1 species